GUUUCAGCAGAGACUAAAUGGGCCUGGAGAAUGAACUAUUUUAAAGUGCACCAGGGUUGAAACACAUUGAAAGUCUCUAUUCCUGAGAACCACCUAGGAGUCAUGACUUGAAUAGCAGAACUUCCAGUGUGGGGUGAAGCAUCUGACAAGCAUGCUGAGACACCAGAUGGCAACUGGUUGGAAGUUUCAUCGGUGGAAGAGGAGCAAGUUAAAUGAGCUAAGGACACCAAAUUUGUCUCAGCCAGAUUGGUGCAACUAAAAUGACCCUGGCCUUGUCUUGUUUGAUUUUUUUUCAGUACUUUCAAAAGUAAUGGUGUUGAUGGAUAUGCAUAAAUAAGGGGUCUCGCUCUCCCUCCUUCAA